GAUGAACGCUAGCGGCAGGCCUAAUACAUGCAAGUCGAACGGGAUUUGGGUGCUUGCUCCUAAUGAGAGUGGCGCACGGGUGCGUAACACGUAUGUAACCUACCUUAAUCAGGGGGAUAGCCUCUCGAAAGAGAGAUUAACACCGCAUAAAAUCACACUAUGGCAUCAUAGAAUGAUCAAAUAUUUAUAGGAUUAAGAUGGGCAUGCGGAACAUUAGCUAGUUGGUAAGGUAACGGCUUACCAAGGCUACGAUGUUUAGGGGAUCUGAGAGGAUGGCCCCCCACACUGGUACUGAGACACGGACCAGACUCCUACGGGAGGCAGCAGUAAGGAAUAUUGGUCAAUGGACGCAAGUCUGAACCAGCCAUGCCGCGUGCAGGAAGACGGCCCUACGGGUUGUAAACUGCUUUUGUACCGGAAUAAACCUCUUUACGUGUAAGGAGCUGAAUGUACGGUAAGAAUAAGGAUCGGCUAACUCCGUGCCAGCCGCCGCCGUAA
rnacentral:rRNA from 1 species